rnacentral:rRNA from 1 species
CCCUUAGAUGUUCUGGGCCGCACGCGUGCUACACUGAGUGGAUCAGCGGGUCAGGUUGCGCGAAAGCGUUUCCUAAUCUUUAAAUCCGCUCGUGAUGGGGAUUGACGGUUGCAAUUUUCUGUCAUGAACGAGGAAUACCUUGUAAGCGCGGGUCAUCAUCCCGCGCUGAAUACGUCCCUGCCCUUUGUACACACCGCCCGUCGCUCCUACCGAUUGAGUGGUCCGGUGAGGCUUUGGGAUCUGAGCGGAAAGAGCGUUUCACUGUUUCUGCUCGGAAACUCAGUCGAACCUUAUCAUUUAGAGGAAGGAGAAGUCGUAACA